GAUGAACGCUGGCGGCGUGCCUAAUACAUGCAAGUCGAGCGAACGGACGAGAAUCUUGCUUCUCUGAUGUUAGCGGCGGACGGGUGAGUAACACGUGGAUAACCUACCUAUAAGACUGGGAUAACUUCGGGAAACCGGAGCUAAUACCGGAUAAUAUUUUGAACCGCAUGGUUCAAAAGUGAAAGACGGUCUUGCUGUCACUUAUAGAUGGAUCCGCGCUGCAUUAGCUAGUUGGUAAGGUAACGGCUUACCAAGGCAACGAUGCAUAGCCGACCUGAGAGGAUGAUCGGCCGCACUGGAACUGAGACACGGUCCAGACUCCUACGGGAGGCAGCAGUAGGGAAUCUUCCGCAAUGGGCGAAAGCCUGACGGAGCAACGCCGCGUGAGUGAUGAAGGUCUUCGGAUCGUAAAACUCUGUUAUUAGGGAAGAACAUAUGUGUAAGUAACUGUGCACAUCUUGACGGUACCUAAACAGAAAGCCACGGCUAACUACGUG
rnacentral:rRNA from 1 species